AUUGAACGCUGGCGGCAUGCCUUACACAUGCAAGUCGAACGGCAGCACGGGGCAACCUGGUGGCGAGUGGCGAACGGGUGAGUAAUGCAUCGGAACGUACCUUUCAGUGGGGGAUAACGUAGCGAAGGUUACGCUAAUACCGCAUAUUCUGUGAGCAGGAAAGCAGGGGAUCGCAAGACCUUGCGCUGAUUGAGCGGCCGAUGUCAGAUUAGCUAGUUGGUAAGGUAAAGGCUCACCAAGGCGGCGAUCUGUAGCGGGUCUGAGAGGAUGAUCCCGGAGUCUGGAACUGGCGCGAGGUCCGGGCUCCUACGGGACGCUGCGGUUGGGGAUUGUGGGCAAGGGGGGGCACCCUGAUGCAGGCAGGCGGCGGGAGUGAGGAGGGCCUUCGGGUUGCAAAGCACUUUCGGCCGGGAAGAAGUCGCACGGGCUAAUACCCUGUGUGGAUGUCGGUACCGGAAUACGGGGCACCGGCUAACUACGUGCCAGCCGCCGCCGUAAUAC
rnacentral:rRNA from 1 species